UAAACUAUAGAGUGGGAGUAUCACAAACUGAUUGUUCGAUAGAGCCUGUUGUUGCUGAGGCUGAUUAUACAAGAUGCUGUCAGAUCAUUCUAAUUCGGGCUUUGUUCUAUAGAUCAUUAUGCAAGACUACAAGUUUGUGUUAUAUGAAAUGGACAAAAAGGUCAUGACUUCAAUAAUUCCAUAUUAGGAGUUUAUUGUGUAGACAGUGAUACCUUAUAUUCAUGUGUAACUUUGAAUAUUUUGUUUAAUGGAUGGACAUCAUUACUAUGUUGUUGUCAAAUGAAUGGCAGACUUAUUUUGGAGUAAUGGUCUCAUUGAAGUGGAGGUGAAUGUCUUUCAUUACAGAGUCUGAUAAACCUGUGAUUAUUGUUGCAAGUAUUAGAGAACUUGCACUUGACUGUAUCAGAAAUUCCAUUGUUUACCCAUGUAAAAUAAAGUGAUUGAACUAAAAUUGAUUGGAGACCAGUCUGACAUUCAAACUUCUGAUUGGCUGAUUUGAAAUUUUGAAUUUGAAAUUAAGAAAAUAAGCCAAUGGUAGCAUUGUGUUGAUCAGACUGGUUACAAAUUUGGUUUCAUGACUUUUGAAACAGAUUGCUUGUUGAUAUUAUGAUAAAUUUGUUUUUGUCUCACUUUUCUAUGUGUGAAAUAUAUAUAUUUAUGUUCAGUGUAUUUAAGGGGUAUUUAUGUACUUUGAUGAAAAGGAGGGUGAAACUAUGAAUUACCUCAUUUAUUUAUUUAUAGACAUUGAUGAGAAAUUCAGAUAAUUUAUGGGGAAUAAAUAAGUUUGUUCUGAUGAACGUUAAUGACUUCCUCCUUUAUAGCUUUGACGUUUUUAUAGCAUUUUGGUUUAAGUCUUGCCAUUUUGUAUGACACAUUUUUUGAGUUUUUGUAUGAAAUAAGCUUUUGUAUGACAAGAUCUCAUUUAAAUGCUUUGUUUUUGUAUUUUGUUUGCUUUUAUUUCCAUUAUGAUUAUUGUCAAAUGAUUUUAAUUUGUUUUUAAUGCCUCUUAUGAUAUAAUUCUGUUUAUAGGCAAGUUAAAAAAUGUUUGUUUCUGAUAUACUGGGUAAUGUACACACACUGAUGUGGAUUUUGUAGAUAAGGAUGGAAUAUUACAUGGUGAAGAAGUAUUUUUCAUUGGGUUUUAAGUCACACCAACACUUAAAUGGACAUUUUGCAGCUUUCUAAGGUUACUAGUAGAGGAAAACCUCAUGUGCCCUUCCAUGCAUUAUAUCAGGCCUGAAUGGGCCACCUUAGAAAAACCACCAAUGUUCAUAAGAUACCUGUAUAGUUUCCUUGCAUGAAAACAAUCUGUAUACAGAAUUAUGAAGUAUUUUAGAAAAAAAAAAGAUGGGGUUAAGAAUAUAUACCGGUUCAUAUGGUAAUAUUUCUAGUAACAAGGGUAAACAUACACAAACACAGACAGGGUUACAGUAGACAAGUUUUGUUAGUCAUAGAAAUUUAAUAUAUCUGGCCAGGAUGUUUAAAUAGUAAACCUAAAUAGGAUAUAAGAAAAAGGUGAAAGAAAUAUUAGACUUUAAGGAGACGCAUCAUAAAUGAUAAAUGAUGGAAGGGGGUCUGUUUGCAUGGUUUAUAAAAUAAAAUUUAAAAUGUUUUACAGAAUAAGGUCAUGCCUUGAAAUAAAUCAUUUUUACCUCCAUGAAUAUACCGGUAAAUUUUUUAAUCAUAUAUUUCAUUGGUAAGGUACUGAUCAUUUAAAUUUUUUAGAUAUUACCGAAGCAUUUUUCAUGUUAUAAUGACAUUUAAACUUGCUUAUAUAUUUGAUACAUGUAUGUGUAUUAUAUAAACCUAAUUCUCUAUUACAUAUUUUGAUAAUUUGAUUUGGCUUUGACUUUAUUUUUAACUGAUAUUUAUUUGUUUAUGUAAAUAAGAGGCAUUAGUAAUGUUGUUCCCAUGGUUAGUUGAGGUAGAUUUAUUUGAUAGAUACACGAAUUUUACAUUGCAUACAGCAGAUAUUUCAAGGGUUUACAGCAAAACUGUUGUAAGUCCUUCUUUAUUUCAUAUAGGUUACUGCAGUUUUGCAGUCAACCCUAGUAGAUUUGCGCAAUUUCUUUAUUGCAGGUAAUAUACUCGCUCGUAUUUAAAAAAAAUAUUUUUCAUUUGAACUAGUGUUUAUGAUAACUCAUUAAUAUUCAUAAAGUACUGGUGUAUGAAUAUUCAAAUCCAUGAAUAAUGAAUGCAUAAUUUGUCAAUAUACAUCAUGUUUAUGCAUUGACAUAUUGCAGUUUUUAUUUCGUCUGUGUUUUUUGCUUGCUUUCUUGGCACCCUUCGUGCUAUUAUUGUAAUAAUGGAUCAUGCAACAUGCAUUUAGCUUUUUGGUUAUAAUUUAUAUAUAGAAGAUUUAAAUGCUAAAGAAUUCAAUGAGAUAGAAAAACAAACACUUUAUGAGGACUCCAACAUUUGCUUAUUUUUUCGUAUGAAUAUUACAUUACAUGCACAUUGUCUCUGCAGAACUUGUCAGACUUUUCCAAGUUUUGUUUAUCUUGACAUAUACUUCUGUACUAAGUUGUUUCCAUUGAAUUUAGAAUAUUGUCUUUGUUUAAUGUGAAGGGAGGUAAUUUAUUUUAGAUUUUGAUACAUAGUUUUGUCUGAGUUGUUUCCCUUGAAUUUAGAAUUUUCUUACUUUCUUUAAUGUGAAGGGAGGUUAUUUAUUUUUGAUUUUGAUACAUAGUUUUGUGUGAGUGGUUUCUCUUGAAUUCUGAAAAAUACAAAUUAUUCAAGUGCAAUAUAAGAAGUGCUUUCAUAGAUAAAAUUUUAGUCAUAAUAAAAUAUUCUAUUAAAUGUUUGAUUUAUAUCUUUAUUUAUAUAGAAAAAUAAAAUAAUUGUUAUGUCUUGAGUAAGAAAUUACUAAAUAUUAUUGCUGAACUUAAUAAAAAUCCAAUUGACAAACUUACACAUGUUUAAAAAAUUUAAUACAUAGGUAAUGUAAGUGCAUUAAAAACUUGAAGAUAUUGUUUAGAAGUUUGAAGUUUAUCUGUGAAAGUGUUGAAGAUCUCAUGCUGUUGAGAUUCGUAUAUUUUAGAGAUGUGAAAACAUGCUGUUGUGUGUAGUGUUUAGAUAGUUGAAAAAGAAGCUCUGUGUAUAGAUAGUAGUAGAGAAAAUGAAUAUUGAUUAGUUAUUUUGUAUAGAUAGUAGUAGAUAAAAUGACCAUCUAAAGCGAUAUAUGUAUAGGUAGUCAAAGAUAAUAUGAGCAGUUAUAAGUACUUUGUAUAGAUAAUUAAAUUAAUUGUAGGCUAAUUGUAUGGACAGUGAAAGAGAGAAAUAACAUUUACAAGCUUGUAUGUAUAGAUAGUUAUAGAGGAAGUGAGCAUUACAAACUUGUAUAGAUAGUUAAAGAGAAAGUGAGCAUUAUUUUCAGACAGUUAAAGAGAAAGUUAGCAUUAAAAACUUAUAUAGAUAGAUAGUUAAAGAGACUUUGAACUUAAACAACAUGUUUUUUUUUUAAGAUAAUACAGGAAUAUAAAUAAAAAGUGAAAUUUAAUUUAGUCAAAUAUGUGUUGAAAUUAUUGGUACUUACAAAUCUUUACUUUUAGCUGAAAUAUUUCUUUGUGACACAGUCGUAUAUGUAUGAAAAUUUGUUUGUUUUUGAAUGCAUGUUUUGAAAUUUCCUACAAAUGACAUUGCAAGAGAUUCAAUGUUUGAAACAUUGACACAUGUAUUUAAUGUGUAUUACUGCCAUAUUACUUAUUGUUCAUUAGCGCAAUUCAAGGCAUUUUUUAUUGCUGUGACAUUAUUAUUUUUUGAAUGUAUUUGUGCUUUUAUUUCUCAAUAUGAAACAUUGAGCAUUUUGCAAUGCAGGCAUAAAUGUUUAUAUAAAAAUGUUGAAUGUGUUUAUUCUAUCUUUAAGGCUAUUUGUGGAAAAAAAUGAGUAUUGCUGGAAUAUCAUACAUCUUAAACAUUAAGGUGAUAUGUUGAAUUUUUGAAAAUCGAAUCUUAACACUUCAUUGAAGUCAAUUACUUUACAAUUUGAUAAAUUAAUUUUCAUGUUAAUUUGAAUAUCUGUUGAUGCAAUGUUUAUAGUACAUUUAACAUGUAUUAAAUAUUUUUAAACAAAAAUGUUAAGUUCAGCAUUAUGACGCCAAUUUAUGAUGUUGAGAUAGCAUCAUGACAUCCGAUCAAUAAAUCUGAAUGUGGUACAAGGUGUUUUAUUCCGAAAAUAAUUUAAUGAAAUGGUAUUGAAAAUUUCAAAGACCCAUGUUUAUUAUUUAAGAUAGGAAAACCCAGAAGUCAGUUUCUUCUUAUACUAUUGCACAAUUGGUUUUAUUUUUAUCAUUUUAGAGUGUUAGUGGACUUUUUGUUGGGGUAUAUAUGGUUUUAUUAUGAUAUAUGUCAUUAAGCAAGUUUGUAAGCAAUAAUUUUAUUUGUUUUGUCCUUCUUUGUGAAUUAUAUAUUUGUGAUGCGAGUUUAAACAUUAUUAUAUUUUUUCUGGUUAUACAUUACAAAUACACUAAAUAACGGUCAUGAAUUUCAUUUUUGUUGUGACGAUGUUUCUUAUUCAUGGUAAAAAAAUAAUAAAGAUACUGCAAAAAAUGUA